ensembl:lncRNA
AUGGCUGAUGUUAAGACCACGAACAAUGGCUUUCCAUGUGGACCAUUAUCAGCAGAGGCUACAUAUAGGUAUCUACAGUCACAGCGCAUCUUAAUUGGGCACAACAUGACAAGAUUCAGCGGUAAGCAGUUUCUAAACUUCCACAAUCAGUAUAUUUUUUCUGCAUCCAUAUUUGAUGUGUAUUAUACAUUAUACAUAUUAUAUAUGCCGUAAUUUAAUAGUAAUAAUACAAAAUGUUUCUUUGAAUUCACAUACAUACCUGUACUGUGUGUAUAUAUAUGUGUGUGUGUGUGUGUGUGUGUGUGUGUUAAAUGUACAUAUUUACAUUUCCUCAGCACAUUCAAUGUAUCACUGAAUAAUUUUUUUUUUUUUUUAAGAAACACCCAAGAAUGUGGUCCAAGAAUCUCACAGAACUCAAUCAAAGACUGGAAUUUAGCUGGAGCAAGUAAACGUAAAAAGAAGUGCUUGAGGUGAACACAGAUUAAUAUUCAGUGUGUAAACAGCAAAACAGGGUUUAAAGCCAUCUAUGCUUAAUGGAGUAAAAGUAUGCUGACUAUGGGCAGUUUAAAUCAAGAUGCAACACAAUUAAACAGCAUGCACAACCACUAAAUAUCUCUACCUACAACCUAGUAAGCAGUUAAACAAGGCACCAUUAUCUUCUGUAAUUGGACCAUUAACUGAGACUCUAAUUCCGGUGUGGCAUUCCAUUUACUUACAACCUACAUAUGCAAAGCCAUUGAACACACUAAUGGUGUGGCUAAAAACAUGCUAGGCAAUACAGAGUGCGGUUAUUUGUGUUUCUUGGUUUCCUCAUCACAAACACUUUACCUUAAUUUACUGCCGGUCAGGCAUUGGCAUGAAUCCCCGAGUCUGAUCAUCCUUAGAGCAGAUGGCAUGGCAAGCUUCCAUUCGGAGUUAGACUAAGAGAUAAUCCUCACAGCACAUGGUGGGCUAUAACACAGAGACUCCCCCCCUUUUUUUUUUUUAUUUUGUGAGUGAGGGGGGUCCAUGUGUGGGGGUGGAAAGUCUCUAAAGUCCUGCAAACUUCAGUGGAGGCCAAACCAUCAAGAUUGAGAUCAUCCAGACCUCCAGGUGUGAGUUGAGCCUCUGUUGGAUAGGGUCUGUGAUCUCUUAACCACUCACACACAUAGUGUAUUGAAAGAGGCUAAUAUUUGACCCCAUUUGCACCUGUUAUUAACUUUUAGUGAUCCGA